ACCGCGGAACGCCUAGGUCUGCGGCGCCUUCUUCUACCCCCGGUCCUCUCUCUCUCCUAUUUCUUUCCUCUGCUAAUCCGCCACGGCAGAACGCCAUGCACACGGCAGUGAGCGGUUUCGAGCUUGCAAUUAGAGCCCUAACUAUCGUAUGGACAGUUCUGCUCCUAUCCCAAACAGUUACCAUCAGCAGGUAGGGAAAAGCUCACACCUGGUAAAGCGGUAGACCGAGCAGACCUCAACCACUGCUCGUCGAGGAGGUCCACGACGAUACUCCGAUCCGGCCACACCCGAUUCCGUUGCGCGCGGUGGACUGACGAGGCAUGAGCCCGGCCACACUCCCGCCUCCAGUGGACGCGCGAUGGUGGCACGCGAAUGUAACACCCCAGGUGUUACACAGGGUGUCCACCCCAGAGCUACCCCUUUUAACCCAUUAUUACAUGAAGAUUUAUAUGGGCAAAGUAUCUCAAACUUGGAAUUCAAGGUCCUAAUCAAGUGCAAACUAUCUUGGAUAUCAUGCCCUAGCUUGUCAUGCACAUCUAGGUGAGGAUUUCCCAAAACCCUAAAGCAAACCCCCUCAUGGGCAAUAGGAACCCUAAUUGAAGCUAUGAUCAAAAGAUCAUGUAAACCUUAUGAUCAUGGUUUGGGCCAAAUAUAAAAGUUGUAAUAUACUUCAUAACCUACAAUUAAUAGAAAGGAAGUACCCCCAAAAAGUUUUC
rnacentral:lncRNA from 7 species